rnacentral:ncRNA from 1 species
AUAGGUUGGGCCUGUGUUGGUUCCCCUGACACGGGUCAGGGGAUGAAAAGGGAACCCGGUGUGAUUCCGGGGCUGCCCCGCAGCGGUAAGCGAGAACGACCUUCACCUCAGGCACUGGUCCCUUCGGGGGCUGGGAAGCGGUGGACAGUAGGAAGCCGGCGAGAGCCGGAGCGCUCGUGAGCCCGAAGACCUGCCAGCAUCUGGCGUCAGGA